rnacentral:rRNA from 1 species
CGGAGGGUGCAAGCGUUAUCCGGAUUUAUUGGGUUUAAAGGGUGCGUAGGCGGUAUUUUAAGUCAGUGGUGAAAUGUUGCAGCUUAACUGUAGAACUGCCAUUGAAACUGAAGUACUUGAGUUAUCUUGAAGUAGGCGGAAUGUGUAGUGUAGCGGUGAAAUGCUUAGAUAUUACACAGAACACCCAUUGCGAAGGCAGCUUACUAAGGGUAAACUGACGCUGAGGCACGAAAGCGUGGGGAUCGAACAGGAUUAGAUACCCUGGUAGUCCACGCCGUAAACGAUGAUGACUCGCUGUUGGCGAUACACAGUCAGCGGCUUAGCGAAAGCGUUAAGUCAUCCACCUGGGGAGUACGCUCGCAAGAGUG